rnacentral:rRNA from 1 species
CCUACGGGAGGCAGCAGUGAGGAAUAUUGGUCAAUGGGCGUAAGCCUGAACCAGCCAAGCCGCGUGAGGGAUGAAGGCUCUAUGGAUUGUAAACCUCUUUUAUAAGGGGAUAAAGUGUGGUACGUGUACUCUUCUGUCCGUACCUUACGAAUAAGGAUCGGCUAACUCCGUGCCAGCAGCCGCGGUAAUACGGAGGAACCGGGCGUUAUCCGGAUUUAUUGGGUUUAAGGGGUGCGUAGGCGGCCUGUUAAGUCAGCGGUGAAAGGCGGUGGCUCAACCUGGGAAUUGCCGUUGAUACUGGGGAGCGGGAAUGUGUUUGAGGCAGGCGGAAUGCAUGGUGUAGCGGUGAAAUGCUUAGAUAUCACGCAGAACACCGAUUGCGAAGGCAGCUUACCAAGCCAUAACUGACGCUGAUGCACGAAAGCGUGGGGAUCAAACAGGAUUAGAUACCCGUGUAGUC